rnacentral:rRNA from 1 species
AUUGAACGCUGGCGGCAGGCCUAACACAUGCAAGUCGAGCGGAUGAAGGGAGCUUGCUCCUGGAUUCAGCGGCGGACGGGUGAGUAAUGCCUAGGAAUCUGCCUGGUAGUGAGGGAUAACGUCCGGAAACGGGCGCUAAUACCGCAUACGUCCUGAGGGAGAAAGUGGGGGAUCUUCGGACCUCACGCUAUCAGAUGAGCCUAGGUCAGAUUAGCUAGUUGGUGGGGUAAAGGCCUACCAAGGCGACGAUCCGUAACUGGUCUGAGAGGAUGAUCAGUCACACUGGAACUGAGACACGGUCCAGACUCCUACGGGAGGCAGCAGUGGGGAAUAUUGGACAAUGGGCGAAAGCCUGAUCCAGCCAUGCCGCGUGUGUGAAGAAGGUCUUCGGAUUGUAAAGCACUUUAAGUUGGGAGGAAGGGCAGUAAGUUAAUACCUUGCUGUUUUGACGUUACCAACAGAAUAAGCACCGGCUAACUUCGUG